CAGGGGGGCCGCCGGGGCCACGGGGACCCAUGGCACCCUGUAGAGACAGACACACUCAAGGCUCAUGUACAGGAGCAGAAUUAAACCUGCAGUUUACUUCCGUAUGAGACUGACCAUGUGACCAACCAGGAAUGGACCUUUGGUCAUGUGACAUCAGGAUACAGGAACUAGAUCUGGCAUGGCUCUGGCUUCCACACAUCCCGGUCCGCAAACACCUGGCCUUCCAAGGUGCAGCUUCCGCCUGUGCCUGAGGGAGGCGACACACAGAGAGACAGGGAAAGAGGAUGGAAUGCAGAAAGCGAGGCAGAAAAGAAGAAGAAAGGGAGGAAAGCGCCACCUCAUCAUUCCCCGGUUCGACCUCCAAGCAGAGUUGGAGAAAAAACAUGGAAAUGUUUGGGAUUCCUGCACCAGAGAAAAAGAUGAAGAGACUGAAAUGAUGUUAAUUAUCCUAAAAGGUCAGAUAGGAGGAGAGACAUUAAGAAAAAAGCUAUCCUGUUGGUACAAUUGUUACUUUUAUGAGGAAACUCCUUAUUAUCCAGGAUCACUUUGAGAGAAGUUUACAUUUCUGGUCAUUGAUAUUUAGCAAGGUUAAACCAAUGAAAGCGGCUUAGAUGUGGUUUCUAAAAUGACCCUGAAAGCAAAUGAUGAAAGAGUCUUUAGCAAGCGUUGAAUUGAUUUAACUGAUCCAGAGAUAAUUUUGCAUUACUGUUUACAAUUUCAAGAAUUUUUGAUGUUGUGGAACUAUUUGUGCUCAAACGUACUUAUAAAGUCUCUUUGUAUGUAGACGAUACGCUGCUUGUAUAUGUAAUCAUAAUCAUAAUUCCCUUCAGAAUAUGUUUUUCUUUUGUUAAAACUUAUAACAUAUUAUGUUUAAAACUCAAUAUGUAGAAAAGCAUUAAAGUGGUAAACCACAAACUGAACUAACACAUUAAAUGUAGGUGACAGAACACAGAUAUGAUCGUAAAUCAUUUUUAUGACACCAACUGUUAUAUGAGCUCUGCAUUAAGAAAUAUGUAUUCAUUAAAUGUAUUUUAUGUGUAGAGAAAAGUACAAUUUUCUAUAUGACGUACAAAGUAGCUGAUGAUUUUAAUUUAAAAAAAUUGUCGAUAAGAGAUUUAGAAAAUAUAACUUAUUCUGAAAAUAAAUACUAUUCCUCCAAAUCAGUGUUAUACAGUUCUCAGUGCAGCAUUGAGACACCUUUAAAGUGUUGGAUGCUUAGUUUGAAUUCCAAAGUUUAGGUAAAUCAUAAUUCCUAUUAUAUAAUUAAAUAAUUAAAAUAAGACAUAAGACAAAAAGUGCGGUUGUUUGAGUGUAGAUAUAUGAAAGGAAAUUGAAGGAACAGAAAAUAGAAAUGUAGUUAUCCUCUGUAUGGAUAUGGAUAAUGAAAGAAAAGAAAAUGUAAGUGAAAAUCAGUUUUUAAAUUAAAAAAUCUAACAUUUUUGCAAAAGUAAUGUUAAUCAGCAGGUCUAAAACUGCAGAUCCGCCCUAUUUUUCAGUCUCAGUCUAAUGCAAUUGAAUGACACACACACACACACACUGACAUACGUACAGUCUACAGAGAAGGUGACAAAAAGGCAGAGAGACAACUGUUAACAAGCUGUGAAGUUUGUUUCACUUUUACCUGUUAAUACAUUUGACACUUGCACGUAAACACACACACACACCCACACACACAGACGUAUUUGGUCUAUACCCAGGCUAUCAGCUCCGAAGAGCUGGAUUUGAGUCCGGUUAUAAUGGUUGUUUGUGUGUCAAGACACAAUGAUUGUAGAUUUCUUGAGAUUUGUUUUGUGCAUAGUUCUUUUCUGUGUU